UGCAUUCUGCACAGUCCAGCAGUGACAGUGAGGGGCUGGGAAAACUGAUCGAUCCGUACGUUCCCGUAGCGGUGAUUCUACACGGACGAUCGACGUGGCUUGAUUGCUUGAAGAGCCGUCGGCUUUCUUGUAUACGUUCGUACUCCUACAUAAUCUGCCAAAUAUGUAGCGACAUGCCAGGAAAAUAAAGGUAAAACAAAAACAUGACGGGACAAAGUAAGCUCGAACCGUGUCACCGUAGAAUAACCAGCAACUAGCAAGCUACAGUACUGGGUAGCGGACGCGCAUCGAUCGACUAAAGGCCAAAAAGCUAUUAACUGCGAUUGGAUGGGCAACAAACACACCAAUAACACCUUCGUUCUCAGUUCUCACGUACCUCUCCCGAGAGACGGCGACGUGAGAGUACGUCAAGAUCACACGUAACAAAUAAAGCCUUGCUUUAUUUAGCGCAUAAAUAAAAAACGAUGGAGUUGUACGUAUUUCAAGCAGUCACGCAAACAAAUUGAAGCCGACAACCAGAGGAAGCUAGACGACAACAAGGGCAGCUUUGUCGUAGGUCGCAAUCGUGUAUCUCGCAGUGCACUUGCAGCAUCUUGUGCCUUUGUGUGUAGUGCGCGGCGGCAGAGCUUUGCAUCGGCGGCGGCGUGCGGAUCCGCAGCAUCCCCGGGACGGGAGAGACAGAGGCGGGUGCGGGGUGCAGCGGUGCUGUUGUUCGUUUGGCUAAAAAAAAAAAGUAGCGUUGACUAAUUUGUAGUCUAAAUAUGGAGCGUGAGAUAGAUGUUGUUUAGUUUCAAAAAAUUUAGACCCUGUUUGGUUCCACCAACUAAAUUUUAGUUAGCUAAACUUUAGUCACUUUAGUAGCUAAAGUCCAAACACAUUGACUAAAAGUAGUUAAAAUAGUUUAGUUUCAUUAGUCAUCUAAGAGUAGCUAAAAUAAUUUUAGCUAGCCAAAAUUUAGUUGGUGGAACCAAACAGGGCCUUAUUUUUUUAGAUUUUUCGUCACAUUAAAUCUUCCGACACAUACAUAUAAUAUUAAAUAAAGAAUAAAAAAAUAAUUAAUCGUAUAAUUUUACAGUCUCCAUUUUAUAAAAAAAUUUAAAACUAAUUAAACAAGGCCGUAGUAUAUGCUAGUAGAGCCGCGCAACUGACGUAUAGUCCAGUACGAACACAUACACGUGUUUAUGCAUAGAAAAAAAAUUGGUAUUUGCCCUUAUAUAAUGGUAUUAUCAGUAACCCUCUAUAGAUAGUCUCUGAACUCUGAUGGUCCAACGUCCAAGUAAGUGCUUCUGGUCUCUCUUAUUAUUGCUUGUGCCGUCAUGCCGUGCAUGGCAAAAGCGUAUGCUAACAGCAAUGCACCCAUAUAGGUAGACAUGCCAUGCUAUCAUCCUCUAUGUUCGUUUGAGUUUAUCAGCUAACAUCAGUUAAUAUAGAAUAAUCUUUUUUUUCACAACAAAUCAGUAUUAGCAUUAGCAUCCCAAUCAAAAUAAACAUGAGGGCCGCGUGGCCAAAAGCAGCAGCAGCAGCAAGUGCUCGAAUAAACUAACUGAUCAAAUUGUACACGUCACCAUCC
rnacentral:lncRNA from 1 species